rnacentral:lncRNA from 1 species
AGCGUGAAGAGGAACUGGCCCCCAUCUUCUCUACUCUAAUUUCCCAAAUAAUGUCUGUGAAUAUAGAGUCUUCGCAACCUGACUUCCUAAUUAAGAAAGUGACAUGUUUGGAAAGGAUUUUAAAUGACAGCGUUUGUCAAGCUGUUUGUUUAGUGAACUCUCUGGGUGUGCUGUUACACAAGAACUGUCUUAAUUAAGGUUAAUUGGUGCAUAAUUAUAGGCACUGCUGACUUAAAAGAUUCCACUGGCGGUAAAGCAAUGAGAACCCUUAAUGUCUAGACAAGGACAAAGCAAUCACAAUAAGCCAAAUUUCAAGACACAUUCUAUUUCCAACACAAGGGCCCUACCCCUGGUCUGACCUGUUUAGAAGGGCACAUCUCACCAAGUGUUUGGGAACCCCUUGUGAGCUUUGGAUAAAGAAAAUCUGAUUCCAGCCUCGUGGUAUUUAGAAAAAAACAAAGAAAAGUAAAUGCAAUGGUGGGCUGGUUAUUAUUCUAAACUGUUAAAAUUUAGCUCAGGUAAAAAUCAAUCAACUUCACUUUCUCUCUGUCCUUAUUUUCUUCCCUUGCAUAAAGGGAGAAGUGGGUUGGGUAGGCAGAUGGGCAUAGAGAAUAGAGGCAGUAUCGUUCUCAAUAUCGGAAAAUGACUAGAAACAACGUGGUAGCCUGUUUCCCAUGUCUACCACGGGCACCACUGGUGCAUCACAGUGCAGUCCCCGACUUAUGUUAGCUACAAGCCCGGGUUUCCCAAGAGGGAGGGCACCAGACACCAAAAUGAACUCCAAGUGAGGUCAUAAAAUUGCUUUCCCUAGUGUCUUUAAAAACAAGAUGAAAGCAUGCAGCACUGGCUGGCGUUAGCAAGAACUUAUUUGGAAGCUGGAGAUUGACUAGAACUUCUGUAAGGAACCACCUAUUUUUGUUCCUGUUGGCUAUUUUCUUUUAAUUUCCAAUCCAUUGUGGACCAAUAUUUUUGUAAAAUACAAUAUAAGUGAGUUACUAAAUAAAUUUAAAAAGACAAAGUGCAAGUCCAAAUAUGUUAAUGUUAGAUUCAACAGACACAAAAUGAUUCAGUUAUUAUAAAAGUUUGUAAUAUUCCUUUGCAAUUUCUAUACUCAUCUCUUUGCAGAGCUCUAAGAAACAGCUUGGAUUGGGGCCCCAAGGUACUGUGCCAGAGGCCCGUGGGGUCGUCUUGGCCCUUCAGGCUCCUGGAAUGCUGCAGCUUUGCGUUCUGAGCAUGCGCAGCCCACUCCCCACAUCUGACCUCAGGCGGUCCGUCCCUUGCACAUGUGAUGAGGUCCUAUCCUCACACCUGGCUCGGCCUUUGGGGCGAGGCUCAGCUGCCUGGUGACUCUGAGGGGCUGGGGGCCAAAGAGUCCACGAGCAUUGAGAUUUGCGUGACGGAUGGUGUGAGCCAGUGUCCUUAUGGAGGAGUCUGGGAGGAGGGGCCUCCGGCACCCCAGGCACCCAGAUGUUUCUUAUCCCAGGAUUCCCCUGCGCGGCCUGUAAAACUCUGGAGAAAACGCGAGAUGGGGCUUCCUCUGGGAAGAGUGAUGGCGCUGCAGGGCCGGCAGGGUGAUUCCGCCGCUCUGAGCCUUUCUGAGGCUCAGGUCACGCCAGCCCAUCCUCUCCCUGCCCCUCCAUCAGGACUCGCACUUGCCCCUGAGUCACCAAGCGCACCCUGCGGUCUCCAACUGCUCCCUGUUUGAAGAAAGUAGCGCUAAUCUGUGAACUCCACUUUGAAUACAGCUGGCCCAGCUGGCAGAGUCUUCCCUUCAGAUUAUCAGUUGGAACAGAAUGGAACUUAUUGUCUGGGCAGUGGAGGAAAUAUCCCCUUAAAUUCAGGACUGGACUCCAGCUGGUUUGUCCUCCACUCAGCGAGGCCCCAGGAGGAGUGGAUCUGUUGGUGUCGUCCCAGAUGCCCUUGACUGGCUUGCACACCCAUCUGCCAAUUACUGUGAGUGUUGGCUGCUAAGGACUCACAGCUGCCACCCCCAGAGAAGUGCCCUCCCAGGACCCAUCAGCCUGAAGCAUCCUGGAACUUUGACUUAAGAAUAGUAGGAGACUUGAACUAAUUGUCCUGCCGUAAAGACACAUGGAGAUACUCUUCCACGAUCAGAGGGUUGUUUCUUAUUCUCCACAAAAUUAACAACACUCCAGUGACUGUCUUUGCAACUAAAUUUCUGUGGAUGGUCCUAUAGGGAGGAGGAGAAAUGAGGAGAGAUGAAGAAAAUAUCUAUGGCCAUGGUGGCAGUACCACAGUACUGGGUGGGAAAUGUCCGAGAAAAUUUUACUCUUGAAAAUUUGAACCAUGAGAUUCUUCAACUUAGAAAGCUGGGGCCCCAAGUUACUUAUGUUUUAAUUACUAUUAUUAAGAUCUUGGCUAUUGUGGAUUUGCAAAUAUUUUAAAUUAUAUAAACAGUAAGAAGAGAUGUAUUAAAUAAAAGAGAUGGAAAUCUCUAGGAGAGUCCAAAUAUGCAAUAAUUAUCACUCUUUCACUAACAGACUUUACUAAUAAAAAUAAAGCACUUACAGGCAUGAAAAUGAUCUAAAUACCAUAUCAUUAUAAGUUGCUUCCUGUGUUCUCAGGCUGAAAGAUUAUUGAAGAUCCUGCUAAGAAAGUAAAACCACAGGACAUUCUGAAAUAAAAGUGUGCGCAUGUUGGGGUAUGUUCACCAGAGCAUA